rnacentral:rRNA from 1 species
GAACUGAAGAGUUUGAUCAUGGCUCAGAUUGAACGCUGGCGGCAGGCCUAACACAUGCAAGUCGAGCGGCAGCACGGGUACUUGUACCUGGUGGCGAGCGGCGGACGGGUGAGUAAUGCCUAGGAAUCUGCCUGGUAGUGGGGGAUAACGCUCGGAAACGG